CAGGGAGACAAAACUGAUCGUGAUGUCUGAGAUUUUUAAUACUUAGGCCAUGAUCCUGUCACCUUAGGUCGAUCGGUACCUCAGUUUGAAAGGCAAAUAAAGAAGUUGUAAAUCAACUUUUAGGUUGUCAAUUAAAUUCAGUUCCUAAACUUGUCUAGGUCGCACUCAGCAAGGGUUCUCCUGGGCCAUUAGCUCAGGUGGUUAGAGCGCACCCCUGAUAAGGGUGAGGUCCCUGGUUCAAGUCCAGGAUGGCCCAUUCGGUGUUGGGGGUAUAGCUCAGUUGGUAGAGCGCCUGCUUUGCAAGCAGGAUGUCAGCGGUUCGAGUCCGCUUACCUCCACUGAUCAUCUCCUAAUCCCAAUUAAGAGGAGUACCUUAUGUAUAUGUGAUCUUGACGUUGUUUAUCUGAAGAACCUAGCUUCCUAUCAUUCCUAUAUAUCUCAAAAAGAUUUGGUUGAAAGGAUGCUGGGCUCAUUACAUUUCAUAUGAAAUGUAGAUGAUUUCAGUAGAACCUUGACAACUGCAUAGGUGAGUCUGGAAAGAAUAAAGCAUCUCAUGGAUGCAUUUUUCUUUUUAGUUAGGAUCUAAAAUAUCUAAAAUUGAUAUUUAGAUUCUACUUAAAGAAUAAUGAUUGAUUCUUGAUAAAGAUCUUAGAUUCUAUUCCCAUAUUUUGCUCUAAACUAGGAGUAUAAAUAUCAUACAUAUUCAAUAAUUUUUGAAUAUGUAUUAACUAGGUUUAGAACUAAU
rnacentral:tRNA from 1 species